rnacentral:rRNA from 1 species
AUGACAACGACGCCAAAGAUGACGAGGCCCCGAGCUCGAGCACGACCACUACGACGCACUGCACAAAGGCCCCUGCUUCCUGCCUGCCCUUCCCUUUGCUUGGAAGAUAGCUCUCUUCAGAUGUUGUUCCUGUCCUUCUCCUUGGUUGUUGAGCGCUGCACUCACUCAUGUAUGCAGGUUGAGUCCAAGCACAAUAGGCGAGAAGACGACGGUGACGCAGAGGAGGACGAGGACCCGCGCUCUAGCCCGACCACGACUAUGCACCGCACGGUCCCUGCUGCCUGGCUGUCGCCAAUUGCCCCCUUCCCUUUACAGUACUACUCUAUUUGUUUUCAUUGCUUUUCACCCAGUUUUGCACACUUUCUGGCCCUUCACUUUUUUGUGUGA